CGAGUCUCUUGAUGUGUAAGGAGGGAAGAUGUUUCGAUGACACAUUCCAUGUGUUAUUAUACAUAUCACAUACUGCAAAAAAUGCACAUCAACUAACAAAGUUCUGUCGCUGGCAUCAUUGAGAUGAGAGGAAGAUGAGUGAGUAGCAACAAUGAGUGAAAAAUAAAAAAAAUAAAAAAUCUUCAACUCGUCCUUAAAAUCUGUAUCACUGAACACUGAAACGAUAAAGUAAUUAAAAAAAAUGAAUACUGACAAACAAAAAAAUAAAAAUCUUCAUCUUUGGCUUAUAAUCUUUAUCAUGAAACACUAGAAAAAAUAAACUGAAUCGAAAAAGAAGGUACUAAGAAAUAUUGGA
rnacentral:misc_RNA from 1 species